rnacentral:lncRNA from 1 species
UUCAAGGGAAUAAGAAACAUGUUUGUAAAUCUUAAACUAGCCCAAGGAUUUGUACCAAAAGCACGUGGCUGCAGAAGCAAUGAGCUCUUUGUGCCCUCUCUUCCUGCUCCGGGGUUCCAUGUGUCUGUGACUCUAAGCCUGGUGUGUGGACCAGGAAACAUUCAAACAAGGCUAAGAGAAGCUGUCAGUCCAGCUCGGGCUACACACUGGGUGAGCCAUGCACCACCCAGGAAUUUCCAGGGCACGUGCCACGUAAGG